GACGAACGCUGGCGGCGUGCUUAACACAUGCAAGUCGAACGGAAAGGCCCUGCUUUUGUGGGGUGCUCGAGUGGCGAACGGGUGAGUAACACGUGAGUAACCUGCCCUUGACUUUGGGAUAACUUCAGGAAACUGGGGCUAAUACCGGAUAGGAGCUCCUGCUGCAUGGUGGGGGUUGGAAAGUUUCGGCGGUUGGGGAUGGACUCGCGGCUUAUCAGCUUGUUGGUGGGGUAGGGGCUUACCAAGGCUUGGACGGGUAGCCGGCCUGGAAGGGAGACCGGCCCCAUUGGCCCAGGGGUGGGGCCCGGACUCCAUCGGGAGGAAGGGGUGGGAGAAUUUCCGAGAAGGGCGGAGGCCGGGAUGAACGACCCCGGGUCGGGAAAGACGGCCUUCGGGGUAGAACCCGUUUGCCCCUAAGAGGGAGCGUUGUGACGGGAAAUGAUUAAAAAACCACGGCUAACCACGGG
rnacentral:rRNA from 1 species